rnacentral:misc_RNA from 1 species
GAUGAAGAACAUAGCGAAAUGCGAUAAGUAAUGUGAAUUGCAGAAUUCAGUGAAUCAUCGAAUCUUUGAACGCACAUUGCGCCCGCCAGUAUUCUGGCGGGCAUGCCUGUUCGAGCGUCAUUUCAACCAUCAAGCCCCAGGCUUGUGUUGGGGACCUGCGGCUGCCGCAGGCCCUGAAAACCAGUGGCGGGCUCGCUGUCACACCGGGCGUAGUAGAUUUUAUCUCGCUCAGGGCGUGCUGCGGGUUCCGGCCGUUAAAAAGCCUUUUUUACCCAGGGUUGACCUCGGAUCAGGUAGGAAGACCCGCUGAACUUAAGCAUAUCAAUAAGCGGAGGA